rnacentral:rRNA from 1 species
CGGAAAAGGGAAAGGCUUGGUGGCGGACGGGUGAGUAACGCGUGGGUAACCUGGCCCAUACAGGGGGAUAACACUUAGAAAUAGGUGCUAAUACCGCAUAACAACAGAAAGCGCAUGCUUUUUGUUUGAAAACCAAGGUGGUAUGGGAUGGACCCGCGUCUGAUUAGCUGGUUGGCGGGGUAAAGGCCCACCAAGGCGACGAUCAGUAGCCGGCCUGAGAGGGUGGACGGCCACAUUGGGACUGAGACACGGCCCAAACUCCUACGGGAGGCAGCAG